UGGGGAAUUUUCCGCAAUGGGCGAAAGCCUGACGGAGCAAUACCGCGUGAGGGAUGACGGCCUAUGGGUUGUAAACCUCUUUUUUCAGGGAGGAAUUGAUGACGUGUACCUGAAGAAUAAGCAUCGGCUAACUCCGUGCCAGCAGCCGCGGUAAGACGGAGGAUGCAAGUGUUAUCCGGAAUCACUGGGCGUAAAGCGUCUGUAGGUGGCUAAAUAAGUCAACUGUUAAAUCUUGGGGCUCAACCUCAAAAUCGCAGUCGAAACUAUUUGGCUAGAGUAUAGUAGGGGUAAAGGGAAUUUCCAGUGGAGCGGUGAAAUGCGUAGAGAUUGGAAAGAACACCGAUGGCGAAGGCACUUUACUAGGCUAUUACUAACACUCAGAGACGAAAGCUAGGGUAGCAAAUGGGAUUAGAUACCCCCGUAGUCC
rnacentral:rRNA from 1 species